rnacentral:rRNA from 1 species
AUUGAACGCUGGCGGAAUGCUUUACACAUGCAAGUCGAGCGGCAGCGCGGGGGCAACCCUGGCGGCGAGCGGCGAACGGGUGAGUAAUACAUCGGAACGUGUCCUUAAGUGGGGGAUAGCUCGGCGAAAGCCGGAUUAAUACCGCAUAAGCUCUGAGGAGGAAAGCGGGGGCUCCGUAAGGACCUCGCGCUGUUGGAGCGGCCGAUGUCGGAUUAGCUAGUUGGUGGGGUAAAGGCCCACCAAGGCGACGAUCCGUAGCUGGUCUGAGAGGAUGAUCAGCCACACUGAAACUGAGACACGGUCCAGACUCCUACGGGAGCAGCAGUGGGGAAUUUUGGACAAUGGGGGCAA